GGGGGCUUGUGUAUUCGUCAUCAUCACAAUGUCUCCUCCUCCCCUCCCUCCCCCUGAUGUCACAAUGUCUCCCCCUCCCCUCCCUCCCUCUGAUGUCACAAUGUCUCCCCAGGUGACUGGACUGUUGCUGCCUCUCAGUCUUUUCAGUGCUUCCUCUUGCCUCCUCCUGCCCUCCUGCCCUGCUGAUCGCUGCCCUGCCCGCCCUGCCCUCUGCCUCUGUCCUUGAUUCCUCUUGUGCUUCCUGGUAUUUGGGCCCAGUUUUUGUUGAUUGGUUUGCUUUUGUUAGAGUUUUGAAUAUUCAUUAUUGCGCUUUGUUUCUGAAAUAUUGUUUACAUUUAUUUUAUUUUAGGAGAAAAUUUUGCUGUUACCUCCAGCACAAUCCCAGUAAUAAACAUCAUUGCCGAAGUUGAAUCAGUGAUUGACUGUUGCCUGAGGAAAAAGUGGCAGAAGCUGGAGGGUUUGCUUUUCCUGGAACCGCCAUAGAGGCAUUUGACAUGCUCAAUAUUGGCCGGCUGUUUCCUCGGAUCAGGGUCAUUUAUUUAAGGGCCCUUGACUCCGAGGAAGCCCCCCAUUACUUGGCCGGUGCCACCUAUUCAACAGCAGCAGCAGCGCCUGAGCAGGCAGAGGCAGCCCUUGUGGGAACUGGAGCCACAGAAAGCUGCCCAAGCCGAAAUUCUGAGGGCAAAGAUGAAACAGCAGCAGGAGGAAAAGAAGAUCCAGAGACAGAAACGGAAGGAGCCCCCUCUCCUACCAAGGCAGCCCCACGGCCUCGGGAAGCUCUCCAAAGAAGAGCACAAAGAAGAGCACCACUCCAUCAAUAAGGAUGUCCGGCCUGGGUUUGUGCGCCAGCUGGCAAAUGUUGAGGAGGCAGAAGUCACAAGGCAGCAGUCUUUCCUGCCUAAGCUACUUCCAAAGGAAGAGCAGUGUAGCCCAGAAAAAAUUAUUCACCUGCCUCGAGCAGGUUCACGGCCUCCUCCAGCAAAAACUUUAUCACCUUGCCCUCCUCCCAGGAUAGUGCCCCAGCCUUGCCGUUUACAAAUAUUAAUCUGAACGGAAUGUAUUGCGGGAAACAGAACAACACAAAGAAAAAAGUCAGACAACUCCUGGAUCCCGCAACAACCAAUAUUCAACCAACCAAAUCACCAAGAAAACCAACUCUUGAAGAAUGCAAUGAAGCUUUCUUUUAUUCCCAGCAGUCUUUUUGCUGGCUUGAGGGCCCCCAAACCAGCUUUUCUGUAUGAAUUGCUUCUCUCCAAUAUCAAGCUUCAACCUGCAUGAUCAUUCCUGUGUAGAACCACCUUCAAUUAAAUUUUGAAAAAAUAAUUAGGGGAAGUUAAGAUUAACAUUAAUAAAAUGGAAAAUAGAGUAAAGGAUAAUGUAUUAGUGAAAUAAUUGACAGAGAGGUGUUGUGUAAAUCUCUGACUUGGGGAUUGGAGGGAAAGUGAAUGGGAUAAGGCAAGAUUGUAGAUUGUGAUUUGUUGCUGUACCGUGACAUGGUAGAAAUUGUGGAAAUUCAAUAAAUAUGAUUAUUUUAAAAUAAAAGUAAGACCACAAAAUUA